rnacentral:lncRNA from 1 species
CUCAAAAACCAUUUCACGGUGAAAAGGGAGCCAAUAUCAUUAGCCAGAUGAUGACAAAAGACACCACAAAACAGCCGUAGGAGAUGCUGUGCUGCUGAAGA